rnacentral:tRNA from 1 species
GGUUCUGUGGCCUAACGGAUAAGGCGUUGGCCUCCGGAGCCAAAGAUUGUGGGUUCGAAUCCCAUCUGGAUCG